AACGAACGCUGGCGGCAUGCCUAACACAUGCAAGUCGAACGAGACCUCCGGGUCUAGUCGCGCACGGGUGCGUAACGCGUGGGAACCUGCCCUUAGGUUCGGAAUAACUCCCCGAAAGGGGUGCUAAUACCGGAUAAUGUCUUCGGACCAAAGAUUUAUCGCCUUUGGAUGGGCCCGCGUUGGAUUAGCUAGUUGGUAGGGUAAAAGCCUACCAAGGCGACGAUCCAUAGCUGGUCUGAGAGGAUGAUCAGCCACACUGGGACUGAGACACGGCCCAGACUCCUACGGGAGGUAGCAGUGGGGAAUAUUGGACAAUGGGCGAAAGCCUGAUCCAGCAAUGCCGCGUGAGUGAUGAAGGCCUUAGAGUUGUAAAGCUCUUUUACCCGGGAUGAUAAUGACAGUACCGGGAGAAUAAGCCCCGGCUAACUCCGUG
rnacentral:rRNA from 1 species